rnacentral:snRNA from 1 species
GUUUACAUAAACUAAAAAUUGGACUGAUAAAGAGAUUAGCAUGGCCCCUGCAUAAGGAUGGCACCCAAAUUCAUGACGCCUUUCUUUU